rnacentral:rRNA from 1 species
GUUUCAUUUAAAUUUAUUAUAGAAUUUUAUUUUUUAGUCAAAAAGCUAAAAUGAAUUUAAAAGACGAGAAGACCCUAUAAAUCUUUAUUAUAAUUAGUUUUUUAAUUAAAUUAGAUUUAUAUUUUUAAUUAAUUAAUUAUAAUUUUAUUGGGGUGAUAUUAAAAUUUAAUAAACUUUUAUUAUUAUAAAACAUUAAUUUAUGAUUGAUUGAUCCAUUAAUAAUGAUUAAAAAAUUAAGUUACUUUAGGGAUAACAGCGUAAUUUUUUUGGAGAGUUCUUAUCGAUAAAAAAGUUUGCGACCUCGAUGUUGGAUUAAGAUUCAUAAUUAAAUGUAGAAGUUUAAUUAUAAAGUCUGUUCGACUUUUAAUUYUUACAUGAUCUGAGUUCAAACCGGUGUAAGCCAGGUUGGUUUCUAUCUUUAAAUAUAGUUAGUAUUUUAGUACGAAAGGAAUAAAUAUUAAAUUUUUAAAAUUUUAAUUUAAGAAUAAAU